rnacentral:rRNA from 1 species
CUUCGGGAUGCCGGCGAGCGGCGAACGGGUGAGUAAUGUAUCGGAACGUACCCAUUAGUGGGGGAUAACUACGCGAAAGCGUGGCUAAUACCGCGUACGCCCCUUUGGCGACAUUGGGGGAAAGCAGGGGACCCUUUUGGGCCUUGCGCUAUUGGAGCGGCCGAUAUCGGAUUAGUUUGUUGGUGUGGUAAUGGCCUACCAAGGCGAUGAUCCGUAGCUGGUUUGAGAGGAUGACCAGCCACACUGGGACUGAGACACGGCCCAGACUCCUACGGGAGGCAGCAGUGGGGAAUUUUGGACAAUGGGGGCAACCCUGAUCCAGCCAUUUCGCGUGUGCGAUGAAGGCCUUCGGGUUGUAAAGCACUUUUGGCGGGGAAGAAACGGCGGUCUCUAACAUAGACUGUUACUGACGGUACCCGCAGAACAAGCACCGGCUAACUACGUGCCAGCAGCCGCGGUAAUACGUAGGGUGCGAGCGUUAAUCGGAAUUACUGGGCGUAAAGGGUGCGCAGGCGGUUUGUCAAGAAAGGUGUGAAAUCCCCGUGCUCAACAUGGGAACUGCACUUUUAACUGACAGGCUAGAGUGUGUCAGAGGGGGGUAGAAUUCCACGUGUAGCAGUGAAAUG